AGUUUGAUCCUCAGCUCAGGAUGAACGCUAGCUACAGGCUUAACACAUGCAAGUCGAGGGGCAGCGGUAUCGAAAGCUUGCUUUCGGUAGCCGGCGACCGGCGCACGGGUGAGUAACGCGUAUCGAACCUGCCUCAUACUCGGGAAUAGCCUUGCGAAAGUAAGAUUAAUGCCCGGUGUUUUCAGAGUCCCGCAUGAGGCUUUGAACAAAGAUUUAUCGGUAUGAGAUGGCGAUGCGUCCCAUUAGCUUGUUGGCGGGGUAACGGCCCACCAAGGCAUCGAUGGGUAGGGGUUCUGAGAGGAAGGUCCCCCACAUUGGAACUGAGACACGGUCCAAACUCCUACGGGAGGCAGCAGUGAGGAAUAUUGGUCAAUGGGCGGAAGCCUGAACCAGCCAAGUAGCGUGCAGGAAGACGGCCCUGCGGGUUGUAAACUGCUUUUAGUUGGGAAUAAAACGGGGCUCGUGAGCCCCUUGCAUGUACCAUCAGAAAAAGGACCGGCUAAUUCCGUGCCAGCAGCCGCGGUAAUACGGAAGGUCCGGGCGUUAUCCGGAUUUAUUGGGUUUAAAGGGAGCGCAGGCGGACCUUUAAGUCAGCUGUGAAAUACGGCGGCUCAACCGUCGAACUGCAGUUGAUACUGGAGGUCUUGAGUGCACACAGGGAUGCUGGAAUUCAUGGUGUAGCGGUGAAAUGCUCAGAUAUCAUGAAGAACUCCGAUCGCGAAGGCAGGCAUCCGGGGUGCAACUGACGCUGAGGCUCGAAAGUGCGGGUAUCAAACAGGAUUAGAUACCCUGGUAGUCCGCACAGUAAACGAUGAAUACUCGCGGUUUGCGAUACAGUGUAAGCCGCCAAGCGAAAGCGUUAAGUAUUCCACCUGGGGAGUUCGCCGGCAACGGUGAAACUCAAAGGAAUUGACGGAAUGGUUUUAAG
rnacentral:rRNA from 1 species